UCAAAUUAACGUCAAAACUUGACAUCGAUUUGAUUUGCAUUUUUGACCAAUUCUUUGAUGUCGAUAUUUGACGUCAAUUUGAUCUAUUUAACAUCAAUUGCCCACUUGGGUAGUGAACUCAAGCAAAUUGACAUUGAGAUCACUUUCCCGAUUUACCGAAAUCAUUUCACGUUUUGUUUAUAUGUUGCAAGGUUCUGUAAAAAUAAAUGUUUCUCAAACCUACUGUGUGACUUCAUCAUUCUGGUAGGUCACACUUCACCCGAGGUGAUAAUGUCAUCAGAGAAUUCUGUAAAAGGAAAAUUUCUGAUUUAGAAGAUGGCAAUGAUACGGUGUAAGAAGAGAAACUGUCAGGUGAAUUGUGAGAUUUGAUUUCUAUUAAAAGAUAAAACAAGUUAUUCAAAAUUGUGAAAGAGAAAAAGAUCAAGAGAUAGACGUUUCACCAGACUAUUUAGAGGAAAUAGAUUCUUGCUUUGAGGAACUGUGACUGUGAGCCUCAAAGUGCACCACAGAACUUCUCUUCGCAGACUAACAACUGCUUUGUACGCCCCGACACCAAAACAAAAAAUAUAAUUAUAUUUUCAAAGCUGUCUAAGUGAAAUAUUUAUGAAAUAUUUACAUUAUUUCACAUUAACAUAUGAAUGUAAAAAGCAAUAAAGUUGUAUGAGCACCAUUUUAAGUAUUAGUCUUGCAUACCAACAACUACAGGUGCAUCAACAAGAGAAAUAUUGUCAUCAGUGAUCCUUCCAAACCAGAACAGCUUUCAUGUUCGCUUUGAAGCAUUUAUAAGCAUACAAAGGGGCACAUUAAAAAGCCAUACAUAAAAGCAGCCAUAACAAUUAGAUUAUUACUAAGUGCUGUGGGUUACAUGUGAGAUGGGAAGGUGUCGUCAGUACACAUGAUGUAUUUUUUGUCAAUUUGUUGACAUUAAUGUUUUCUUAUACUUGCGCUACUGUGAAUGAUCCCCGCUGUUUGCUGCUCUGUCAUUUUAGUACUUAAAGGACGUUGAGUAACUAUCUUUAGUGUCUAAUUUGUGUCAAUAAAUAGUGUGUCCAUAACAAUUUUUCAAACGUUUCUCAUAAUUAUUCUUGCUAAUUUUGAGGGAUAAGAUAACAAUACAUUUUCUGUAAUUAUUUGUCUAAAAUAACUUUUGCUGUGUCCUUAUUAUUGGAUGUUAAAUAAUGUUUUAUAAUUUAGGCUAUUGGACUUACGUCAGAUGCUACGCUUGUGACUGACAGCACGGUUGACCAAUCAUUGAAAAGGGAGGCGGCGAAAGCUUUUUCAAACCUCAGGAAAUGGGAAAGAAAAACUUCCACAAAAACUACCGGUAACUCGAGAGCCGUCUAGCCGCCCAGCUGACAGUCGGGCACUUGAAUUCUCCUCCAUUUUUCUGUGUAACAGAAGGACAUACAACCUUUCCCCUCUUGAACGGGCGUUUUGGUUUUCUCAGAUUCCGUUGGAAGUCUGGAUAUGAUUUCUAGUGUCACUCAAUCGUGCGCCGCUUGAGCCAGAGCAGAGAGCGCGAGCGAGGAAUCGGUUAGUCGGGACGUCACUUGACGGACAGCAGUGCACGAUGUCGGGUGUGACGGUACAGCUGCUUUGGAACAAUGCACAUUGUGAAAAGCUCUAUAUAAAUAAACUUGAACUCGAAUUGAACUUAAAGGGAUAGUUCACCCAUAAAUGAAAAUCUCGUCAUCGUUUAAUCACCUUCGAGUUGUUCCAAAUCAAUGGUAGUCAAAAGUGCCCCAGAAGAAUAUAACGGUGGAGAAUGAAAAACCUACAGAUAAUGUGAAAAGUUGUGAAAUGAGUCAGAAGGAGAGUUCUGGCUUGCUAGAGGACAAGACUACGUGUCAGUCAGUCGUUGAGGAUUCUUUGGAAAACAACCACCCCAGUAAAUCCCAGGACAGUAUUAAUGUUUCUGACAUGGAAAAGAGUGACCCGUCUGAUUCCGGGCCCCCUGAAGAGAGCAAACAUUCAUCUGAGCCUGACAUUCGAGUGGACAUGAACAAACAGGAUGUUGUUAAUUCAGGCACAUCAGUUAUCAGUGAAGAGAAAACAGCAUUUUAGUGUGACGUUUUAAAAGGUUUAAGGGAACAUCUAGACAUAAACACAAAGAAAGUUUGUUUCUUGGAUACGUCGUAAGACUCUCACAGUAGCUCACAGUUGCUUUACUAAAGAACAUUUCUGUUGCAUUAAAGGGAUAUUAUUUGAAAGAAAUGUUUGUUAAAAUUAUGACUUCACUAUGACGACAUAUAAAUGUCAAAGAUUAUUUUAAAUAGCUAUUUUUAUUCAUUUGCUUUUGUGUGACGUAAAAUUGCUGUAUAACGGAUGCCUGUAAGGCAAGACUGUAAAAUUGAGUUGUGUGUCCGACUAUUUUAUGUUUGACUGAUAAUCUAUUUUUAUAUUUCAUUUUAUUUUAUAUUUUGAUAUCUGAGUGCUGUUUUUUGGUGAAUAAAAGUUUCCAUCCAGUGAAAACUGUGUUCACAAACCAGAUUUAAUCCAGACAAUUACAGACAAUACUAUUUUCUUUCUGUUUAAAUCUGACACUUGACUAUGAAGUGUGGUGCAAGCACAUAUCCAAAAAAUAAAGAAAGAAAACUUA